GACGAACGCUGGCGGCGUGCCUAACACAUGCAAGUCGAACGAAGUAUAUUUUCGGAUAUGCUUAGUGGCGGACGGGUGAGUAACGCGUGAACAAUCUGCCCUAUACACAGGAAUAGCCUCGGGAAACUGGGAUUAAAACCGGAUAACACUUUUUAGCCGCAUGGCUUGGAAGUCAAAUUGAUUUAGAGGUAUAGGAUGAGUUCGCGUCUGAUUAGCUAGUUGGUGAGGUAACGGCUCACCAAGGCGACGAUCAGUAGCCGGCCUGAGAGGGUGAACGGCCACACUGGAACUGAGACACGGUCCAGACUCCUACGGGAGGCAGCAGUGGGGAAUAUUGCACAAUGGAGGAAACUCUGAUGCAGCGACGCCGCGUGAGUGAAGAAGGUCUUCGGAUCGUAAAACUCUGUCCUUGGUGAAGAAUAAAUGACGGUAGCCAAGGAGGAAGCCCCGGCUAACUACGUG
rnacentral:rRNA from 1 species